rfam:Paenibacillus sp. FSL R5-0912, complete genome.
AUUCAAUACGGCGAUGGAGUUCGCCAUAACCGUCCUUCGGGACUAAUGACUCCUACCAGUGA